GACGUAGGGUGCAAGCGUUGUCCGGAUUUAUUGGGCGUAAAGAGCUCGUAGGCGGCUUGUUGCGUCGACUGUGAAAACCCGCGGCUUAACCGCGGGCUUGCAGUUGAUACGGGCAGGCUAGAGUUCGGUAGGGGAGACUGGAAUUCCUGGUGUAGCGGUGAAAUGCGCAGAUAUCAGGAGGAACACCGGUGGCGAAGGCGGGUCUCUGGGCCGGCACUGACGCUGAGGAGCGAAAGCGUGGGUAGCAAACAGG
rnacentral:rRNA from 1 species